CUAAACCUAAUCCCGUUUUCAUUGAAACUUCAUUCAUCUCCUGCUUGCCUUCUUCCUCCUUCCUCCUUCAUUCUUCAUUCCAGACACGUUGAGACACUUGACAGUGAGACGCCAUCUUGCUUCUUCAAUCUUCAGUUCUUCACGCCGUCAUCUUGCCUCUUCGUCACCAUUUACGUUGAGACGCCAUCUUCUUCUUCCUGUUCAGUUCUUCAGUUCUUUAAUUGGAUUUGUUCAGCAAUUUUCGAUACUUAUUGAAGAUCUACCUGGAUUCUUACCCAGUACCACCAUCUAGAUUUUCGGUAAUGCAUUAACUUUGGAGCAUCCGAAGGUCAUAAUCGAUGAAACUCUUGACGACGUUGAAGAUGAUUAAUGGAGCUUCAAGUUUCAACUUAUAAAUUUUAAUCGCUUGCUUUUAGUUUAUGGAAUUAUGGUUGUAUUUCAAUAACUAAUUAUUGUAUUUUAAUAGUUUAUGAUUAAUUAAGUUAAGUAUUUUAAUAUUAUGUGAAUUAUAUAUAAAAAAAUGUCAAAAGAAAUAACAAAAAAAAUUAAUAAAUAAAAAAAAAAAUAAUAAUAAAUAACAAAACCGGGUACCCGGAUUUCGGGUACCCGGUUUAAACCAGGUCGGAUCCGGAAUAGAAUUUUAAGUAUCCGGAAAACCGGGUACCCGGUUUUUCGGAACCGGGUCGACCCGGUAUCCGGUUUUGAACACCCGUACAUAUAAAUAUGAUUUUCAAUUCUAUCCACUUCAAAACAAUAAUAUAUACUAAAUAGUGUUGUGUGCCAAGUUUCGUGCAAAACAAACCAAGUUUGAGCUACUUUAUGUGCGAAAGUGACAAAAAGCAUAAAAACCCAUAAAAUCGUAACUUA